CUAAUGUAGUCAGUGAAUUUACCUGACGAAGUCAGGGAUUGUUUUUAUUCCACUAUACUAUCUUUUUCACUGCAAAUUCAAAGGAAGCAAGACAAAGUUGUCGAAACUGACUGGACACUUGAGAGAAGGAUGAAAAAAUGGAAUAAACCAGGAGUGUCCAAUGGCUAAUCUCAUUUAACUGACCCCACCAUCACAUCAUAUGUCUCUGGAUCCAUCUACAGUAUACAGUUUUACAGGCAAGACAUCUCUCAGCCAUUGCCAUUGCAUCUCUCCAAGUGGACCCUUAUACGUUUGCUUCUGGACAUCUAACCACUUUUGGUGGACAUAAGACCCUGACAUAAAGGCAUAAAGCUUUUAUAGAAGUUGAAAGAAACAAUCCAAAUCAGGGGACUGAUUUAACAGUGUCUGCAAGGACAAGAUUCAAGCAGUGUGCAUUAGAGUGCACUUGAGGAGCUUCCUUUCUAAUCUGUACUUGUACUCCAGUUUCUGUUUCGGUUGCAAUUAUAAUGUUUUUUUUUUUUAUGUGUAGCUUGUCAGAGCUGUACGUCUCUGUGAUCAGUAGUAAAUGCUUUUCCACCUGAAAGCCAGAGGGGACACAUCUGAAAGCACAAGUCAUUCCAGGAAAUCACGCUGUAGCUGAAUAAACAGAAGAUUGAAACGCCUUGAUUGAUUAAACAUGACUAAUAAACACACGACUGCCUUAUUCUGUGUA